CCAUCGGGGCCGGGCGCCUCCGCCCGGGGCAGGCACCUGGGGAGCCGGACUUUCGGUUGCCCUUGAAUUGGCUGCACCCACUUAGGUGCAGAAGGGCUACUUCCGAUGGCCCGGGCGGCCGGAGACCAGGUCGCGGGCGCUGCCCUUUGGGCUCCCCAGCCGUUCCCGCCGUUCUUACUCCUGGUUACUCCCCGCCGCCGGCCGUCACGUAAUUUCGAAGUCUUUGGUUCGAAGUUAUACAAACAGCGAGCGCGAGCUUGGAAAGUUUUUGGUGCAUUUUCUUAAAGUGGGUUCCUUGACGUCCCAGAACUGUGACCAGACGUCAUCCAUCCUCCUCCAGCCCCACCCGCAGCUCCCUUUGUCAUUCUCAGACCUUGCCGUUCCUCUGAGAUGUGCCAGGAGCGAUUGUUGAUGUUUCGUUGAUGUGGGUUUCCACCCGAGCUGCCGCGCUGAAAUCUGGACAGUAGCUGCCGGAGGGUGAGGUCAUGGUGAAAAUCCCCCUUCACCGGACACUGUGAUGCAGGCUCUUCCCUAGAAGGAAGCAGAUAAGCAAACAGACCGAGGACAAGAGCCGGCAAAUUUUAGGUUUCCUGCCAGAUUGCAGAGGAUAUGACCAGCCGAGGGACUUUUUUUCUAUCUUAGUAGCGGAUUCAGGCCAGGACACCUGAAGGGCUGCCAGGAGACAAGCGACAAGUGACAGCUGCCUUGGCAGAGAGACUGCAUCGCAAGGACCCCGGAAGCCGACUUCUUCUCUCUUAGUAUUCUAGUUUAAAGUGGAAAAAGGCAUUUGGGUCGGUCUCUGUUUAUGGCAGUGCAGCCCUAAUGCUCCUUGAUUGGGGCUUCUGGGGCUCAGAAACUUCUGUGUCAGGCACUGAGUAGUGUGUGCAACAUAAUUGGAGAACCAAGGAUCUCUAGGAGGCAGGAAGGUAUUCCCGCCCUGCCAGUUCAUGUUGUGACAUGUAGACCAGCAGAGAAAGUUGUUCCAAGCCCUGCCUGUAACCUUCUGUUGGAACGAGCUUGGCUCAGAUCAAGCCCAGCUGCUCUAAUCAGUGUUUCUGAAAAAAAGAGACCUCUUUGGGCCCAGCCUGGAGUCUGGCUGCAGUUGUCCAACUGCUUCUAACCGUCUGGUCAUCAAGCCACCUUGAAAACAUGAGCAUUAAAAUGAGCUAGAGGUUUGGUGACUCCUCGGAAAGUUAAACAUAACAAUUGCCCUAUGACCCAGCAAUUCCACUCCCAGGUAUAUACCCAAAAGAAAUGAAAACAGGCGUUCAAAGAAAAAAAUGUACACCUGUGUUCAUGGCAGCACUAUUCAGAAGAACCCAAAGGGGUGAACAACUCAUAAAUCCAUCAAUGGAUGGAUGGAUAAACAAAAUGUAGUGUACCCAUGGAACGCAAUUAUUCAGCCGUGAAAGCAAAUGGAGUACUAACACAUGCUACAAUGUGGAUGAACCCCGAAAACAUUAAUGCUACAUGAAAAAGCCGGUCACAAAAGGCCACACAGCCUCCGAGAAAGAUCCGUGAGCUGGUGUUGACAAGCUGUGACCUCACUCAGCUUCUCCAAAGUCAAAAGCCUGUGUCUGAAAGACACACACCAGCUCUCGUAGAAACCCUUACACCUUGCUUACUGCAUCGGACGCAUUUAUGGGCAGUCUAUUUAUAUAAGACUCAACACAAGGCUUUGGUUGGAAAUCUGAAGCUCUUUCUGGGAAACUCAAAACAUCCUAGCUCAAUCUCUCACCUUUCUUUUCCCUUACAGCUUUUCAAGGGUCUGUUGAUAACAACAGUGAGAAAAAUACAUGCAUAUUGGAUGUUGUCCCCCAAACCUGAACUCUGAAGUAGGGCGGGGUUUAUUCAUUUUCAACAGCACCAGGAGUGUCAGGCAAGGAUCCAGCUGCCAUAUUGUGAGGACUCAAGCAGCCCCACGCAGGGGUCCACGUGGGAAAGAACUGAGGCCACUGCCAACGGCCAGCACCAACUUGCCAGCCUCAUGAGUGAGCCAUCCGGGAAGCAGAUCCUAGUCAAGCCCCAGGUAAUGGCUUGUCUGCAGCCUCUUGAGAGAUCCUGAGUUAGGACCAGGCAGCUGUAAGUGGCUGCCGAACUCGUGACCCACAGAGACUAAUAAUAAGUGAGAUAAUAAAUGUUUCUU